GGUGGUGGUGUUAGUUUAACUGGUGGUGGUGUUAGUUUAACUGGUGGUGGUUUUAGUCAGCUGAUGGUGUUAGUUUAGCUGGUGGUGGUGGUGUUAGUUUAACUGGUGGUGGUGUUAGUUUAGCUGGUGGUGUUAUUAGUUUAGCUGGUGGUGUUAUUAGUUUAACUGGUGGUGGUGUUAGUUUAGCUGGUGGUGUUAGUUUAACUGGUGUUAGUUUAGCUGGUGGUGGUGUUAGUUUAGCUGCUGGUGGUGUUAGUUUAACUGGUGGUGGUGUUAGUUUAGCUGGUGGUGGUGUUAGUUUAGCUGGUGGUGGUGUUAGUUUAGCUGGUGGUGUUAGUUUAACUGGUGGUGGUGUUAGUUUAACUGAUGGUGUUAGUUUAACUGGUGGUGUUAGUUUAGCUGGUGGUGGUGUUAGUUUAGCUGGUGGUGUUAGUUUAACUGGUGGUGGUGUUAGUUUAGCUGGUGGUGUUAGUUUUGCUGGUGGUGUUAGUUUAACUGGUGUUAGUUUAGCUGGUGGUGGUGUUAAUUUAACUGGUGUUGGUGUUAGUUUAGCUGUUGGUGGUGUUAGUUUAGCUGGUGGUGGUGGUAGUUUAGCUGGUGGUGUUAGUAUAGCUGGUGGUGGUGUUAGUUUAACUGGUGGUGGUGUUAGUUUAGCUGGUGGUGGUGUUAGUUUAGCUGGUGGUGUUAGUUUAGCUGGUGGUGGUGUUAGUUUAGCUGGUGGUGGUGUUAGUUUAACUGGUGGUGGUGUUAGUUUAACUGGUGGUGGUGUUAGUUUAACUGGUGGUGGUGUUAGUUUAACUGGUGGUGGUGUUAGUUUAACUGGUGGUGGUGUUAGUUUAGCUGGUGGUGUUAUUAGUUUAGCUGGUGGUGUUAUUAGUUUAACUGGUGGUGGUGUUAGUUUAGCUGGUGGUGCAGUUUGUUUAGCUGGUGGUGCAGUUUGUUUAGCUGGUGGUGUUAGUUUAGCUGGUGGUGUUAUUCAUUUAGCUGUUGUUAGUUUAGUAGUGGUCUACAUACAGUAAUGGGUGCCCAGUAGGCUGGUCAAAGUAGCUGGUGGUGUUAGUUUAACUGGUGGUGUUAGUUUAACUGGUGUUAGUUUAGCUGGUGGUGGUGUUAGUUCAGCUGGUGGUGGUGUUAGUUUAACUGGUGGUGGUGUUAGUUUAUCUGGUGGUGGUGUUAGUUUAGCUGGUGGUGGUGUUAGUUUAGCUGGUGGUGUUAGUUUAACUGCUGGUGGUGUUAGUUUAGCUGGUGGUGUUAGUUUAGCUGGUGGUGGUGUUAGUUUAGCUGGUGGUGUUAGUUUAGCAGGUGGUGGUGUUAGUUUAGCUGGUGGUGGUGUUAGUUUAGCUGGUGGUGGUGUUAGUUUAGCUGGUGGUGGUGUUAGUUUAGCAGGUGGUUGUGUUAGUUUAGCAGGUGGUGGUGUUAGUUUAGCUGGUGGUGUUUUUUGUUUAACUGGUGGUGGUGUUAGUUUAACUGGUGGUGGUGUUAGUUUAGCUGGUGGUGGUGUUACUUUAGCUGGUGGUGUUAGUGUAGCUGGUGGUGGUGUUAGUUUAGCUGGUGGUGGUGUUAGUUUAGCUGGUGGUGUUAGUUUAGCAGGUGGUGG
rnacentral:lncRNA from 1 species